GCCAGGUGUGGUGGCGUGCACCUGUAGUCCUAGCUACUUAGGAGGCUGAGGAAGGAGGAUUGCUUGAGUCCAGGAGUCCCAGUCUGGGCAACAUGGCAAGAUCCUGUCUCUU
rnacentral:SRP_RNA from 1 species